rnacentral:lncRNA from 1 species
UGUUUCUGUAUGAUUCUCUGUGCCUACUCGCUCUCUCUCUGUGCCCCCUCUCUGGCUCAGUCUGUGCCCGCCCCCUCGCUCGCUCACUCGCUCUCUGUGCCCCCUCAUACGCUCUCUGUGCCCUCUCGCUCGCACGGUCUGUAUCCCCUUGCUCUCUCACUUUCUCGCUCUCUGUCCACUCUCUGGCUUGCACUCUGUGUCCACUUUCUGUGCCUGCUCGCUGGCUCGCUUGCUCUUUAUACCCCCUUGCUAGGUCGCUGUGCCCCCUUGCUGUGCCCCCACUCUCUCGCUUGCUCACUCUGUGUCCUCUCUCUGGCUCACUCUGUUCCCCUUCUCUGGCUCACUCUCUGUGCCCGCUCUCCUGUUCGCUCCUUCUCUGUGCCUGCUCUCUCUCUGUGCCUGCUCUCUCGCUUGCUCUCUAUCUGUGCCGCCCCUCCCCGUGCUCCCUUCCUUUGCCCACUCACUCACUCUCUGUGCUCCCUCUCUGUGGCCGCUCGCUCUGUCUCUCUGCACCCGCUCUCAUGCUCGCUCUGCAUCACUGCUCUUGCUUGCUGUGUCCGCUCUCUCGCUCGCUCUCUGUGCUCGCCUGCUCUCUGGUUUGCUCUCUGUGCUCCCUGUCUGUGCCCGCUCGCUUGCUCUCUGGUCCCGCUCUCUGGCUCGCGCGCUCUCUGUGCCCCCUUGCUCACUCGCUCUUUGUGCCUGCUCACUCGCUCUCUGUUUNNNNNNNNNNNNNNNNNNNNNNNNNNNNNNNNNNNNNNNUUAUGCCCACUCUCCCCCUCGCUCAGUCUCUGUGCCCACUCGCUCGCUUUGUGUCCCCUCUCUUACGUGCUUGCCCUCUGUCCAGCUUGCUGCUCUCUCUCUCUCUCUGUUCCCCCUCGCUUGCUCUCUCUCUCUCUCUGUGCCCCCUCGCUUGCUUGCUCUCUGUCUCUCUCUCUCUCUCUACUCCCUCGCUCGCUUGCUUGCUCUCUGUGCCCGCUCUCUUACUCGUUCUCUUUGUGCCUGCUCUCUUGCUCGCUCUCUGUGCCCCCUCGCUAGCUCGAUCUGUGCCCCCUCCCUCGCUCUCUGUAUCCCCACUCAUUUGCUCUCUCUGCCUGCUCUCUCACUCACUCGCUCUCUGUGCCCCUUCGCUCUCUCUCUCUGUGCCCGCUUGGCCUCUCUCUCUCUUUCUCUCUGUGCCUGAUUGCUCGCUCGCUUUCUGUGCCCCUGCUCUUGCUCACUCUCUGUGUGCCUGCUCUCACUCACUCGCUCUCUGUGUGACCGCUCUCGGACUCUCUUUCUGUGCCUGAUCUCGGGCUCCCACUGUGCCCCUGCUCUCUCGAUCACUGUACCCCCCCGCCUCGUUCCCC